GACAAGGGUUAUAUAUGAAGCCUUACAUAUCUAGUUAUUAGGGAAGUAGACUGAGGAAUAGCAGAAAUUGCAACUGUACCUGUUGACAAGUCGAAGCAACUCAUGAUGUUCUAACCUGAAAUAAUAUCAUCAACAAUAAUGUUUUUAGAAGAUGAAAAAGAACCUUAACAAGAAAAAAUGAAGUUCAACGCUCACUUCUCAUCAGAUAGUUUCACCAAUACUCUUCUUCAGGUUAAUGAUAUGAUGAGAAGUCAUAAUACGAGGUUACACCUUUCGACUAUUGAUUGGCUAAUGGACGUGGAAUUCUCCAUUUGUACUAAUAAGAUUUGACAUGUAGGGACUUACAAUUCUAUCUUCUCCAUGUCUUUUAUUUUUCCUUUUGUCGUGUUUGUAUCUUUUCAAAUAAUAGAAACUUCAAAAUCCCUAAUAAUAGUUUCAAAUAUAUAAAGUAUAUAUUACAAUUCAAUUUAUCUAUCUUCCUUUCAAAAUUUUAUGCAAAAUAUUUAUGACUAGUUUUAAAAAAAAUUGAAGGUAGAAAAAAGA